rnacentral:rRNA from 1 species
CCUACGGGAGGCUGCAGUGAGGAAUAUUGGUCAAUGGGCGUAAGCCUGAACCAGCCAAGUCGCGUGAGGGAUGAAGGUUCUAUGGAUCGUAAACCUCUUUUAUAAGGGAAUAAAGUGUGGGACGUGUCCUAUUUUGUAUGUACCUUAUGAAUAAGGAUCGGCUAACUCCGUGCCAGCAGCCGCGGUAAUACGGAGGUUCCGAGGGUUAUCAGGUUUUAUUGGGUUUAAGGGGGGGGUAGGGGGCCUUUUAGUCAGCGGUGAAAGGCUGUGGCUCAACCAUAGAAUUGCCGUGGAAACUGGGGGGCUUGAGUAUGUGUGAGGCAGGCGGAAUGCGUGGUGUAGCGGUGAAAUGCUUAGAUAUCACGCAGAACCCCGAUUGCGAAGGCAGCCUGCCAAGCCAUGACUGACGCUGAUGCACGAAAGCGUGGGGAUCAAACAGGAUUAGAUACCCGUGUAGUC